GGGGCUAUAGCCCAGUUGGUAGAGCGCCUGCAUGGCAUGCAGGAGGUCAGGAGUUCAAUUCUCCUUAGCUCCA
rnacentral:tRNA from 1 species